rnacentral:rRNA from 1 species
GACGAACGCUGGCGGCGUGCUUAACACAUGCAAGUCGUACGGUAAGGCCCUUUCGGGGGUACACGAGUGGCGAACGGGUGGGUAACACGUGAGUAACCUGCCCACAACUUUGGGAUAACGCUAGGAAACUGGUGCUAAUACUGGAUAUGUGCUCCUGCUGCAUGGUGGGGGUUGGAAAGCUCCGGCGGUUGUGGAUGGACUCGCGGCCUAUCAGCUUGUUGGUGGGGUAGUGGCCUACCAAGGCGGCGACGGGUAGCCGGCCUGAGAGGGUGACCGGCCACAUUGGGACUGAGAUACGGCCCAGACGCCUACGGGAGGCAGCAGUGGGGAAUAUUGCACAAUGGGCGCAAGCCUGAUGCAGCAACGCCGCGUGCGGGAUGACGGCCUUCGGGUUGUAAACCGCUUUCAGCAGGGACGAAGCUUUUUGUGACGGUACCUGCAGAAGAAGCACCGGCUAACUACGUG